AGCACUUGAGCAGGGCUUGGUCAAGGGACAGGGAAGUGCCUGCUAAAAAGGAAGAAUGGGAGAUUGACUUGUCUAAACUUGAUAUCAGAUAUGUUAAAGCUCAUGGAACUUAUGGUACUAUUUACAGAGGAAGCUAUGAUGGCAAUGAUGUUGCAGUGAAAGUGCUUGAUUGGGGGGAGGAUGGUGUUUCCUCAGUUGCUGAAAUUGCUGCUCUUCGAACAUCUUUUCGCCAGGAAGUGGCUGUAUGGCAUAAGCUUGACCAUCCCAAUGUUGCAAAGUUUUAUGGAGCAUCAAUGGGGACGUCCAACCUUAAAAUACCUCCCAAGAGCUCAUCAUUCGACAGUAACCAAUCUUUUCCUUCAAGGGCUUGCUGCGUUGUUGUUGAGUAUCUUCCAG
rnacentral:misc_RNA from 1 species